rnacentral:ncRNA from 1 species
UCUGCGAAAUCUACUUCAGUAGAGCAUAUGAUGUCAAUGGCCCGAGGCAGAGCACUCAAUGGGCUAGGGUGGCCCCCAAAAAGCUUGACCAACCCCAGGGAAACUCCAAGAGCUGGCCUAGAUCAUUUGCACAGACAGACUUUUUGGGUGCUAAGAUCCAAAGUCGAGAGGGAAACAGCCCAGAUCGUACACUAUCUUUAGGUUUGACGAACUCUUUCUCACAAGUAAAAAAAGCAAUUCCAUAAUAGAAAGAUUUUUAAAAGA